rnacentral:pre_miRNA from 1 species
GAAUCCAUUCCCAGUAUACUGCUAGAUAUGUUUGAUAUUCUUGGUUGUAUAAUAAUAACGACCAGGAAUCAAACAUAUUAUUACAGUGUCUGGUUU